UACGUAGGGGGCUAGCGUUGUCCGGAAUCAUUGGGCGUAAAGCGCGUGUAGGCGGUCCGGUAAGUCCGCUGUGAAAGUCGGGGGCUCAACCCUCGGAUGCCGGUGGAUACUGUCGGGCUUGAGUACGGAAGAGGCGAGUGGAAUUCCUGGUGUAGCGGUGAAAUGCGCAGAUAUCAGGAGGAACACCAAUUGCGAAGGCAGCUCGCUGGGACGUUACUGACGCUGAGACGCGAGAGCGUGGGGAGCAAACCGG
rnacentral:rRNA from 1 species